UCGCGCAGAACCCGCGGGACAAGAGCGCUAACUGUGAAGUAAGCAGCGAACCCGAGUGUCAGAAGAAUUACCUAAAGGAGUCACUUGGCAAAGAAAAGAAAGUGAAUUGCAACAGGGAAAAAUCUGACUUCUGUGCAAUGGAUACUGCUGCAUUUUAGAAGACAAAAGCUCCCAACAAACCUGCCAUGCCAUCUGACACUGCCUUCAAGUCUGUGUAUGUCUGCACUUCAAGCAACUUCUCUCUGAAUACAAAUCAGAUUUCACAUUCAUCCUGAAUCUAUUUAGCUGCUCAUGAUUUCC